CAGAACGAACGCUGGUAGCGUGGAUUAGGCAUGCAAGUCGAACGGGAUCCGGGAGGUAGCAAUACUUCCUGGUGAGAGUGGCGGAUUGGGAGGAACACGUGAGCAACCUGCCCUUGAGUUGGGGAAAACCGUUGGAAACGACGGCUAAUACCGGGAUGCGGCGCCCGAAGACAUCUUCGGAGCGCUAAAGGGGGCCGCAAGGCUCCCGCUCGAGGAGGGGCUCGCGCACCAGUCAGCUUGUUGGCGGGGUAACGGCCCACCAAGGCCUACGGUUAGCUGGUCUGAGAGGAUGACCAGCCCCACUGGGACUGAGAUACUGCCCAGACUCCUACGGGAGGCUGCAGUCGAGGAUCAUUUGCAAUGGGCGAAAGCCUGACAAUGCGACGCUGCGUGGAGGAUGAAGGCCUUCGGGUUGUAAACUCCUGUCAUGGGGGAACAGGCGAGGGGACCCAACACGUCCCUUAGUUGAGUGUACCCCAAGAGGAAUUGGCGGCUAACUCUGUGCCAGCCGCCGC
rnacentral:rRNA from 1 species